rnacentral:rRNA from 1 species
UACGAAGGGGGCUAGCGUUGCUCGGAAUCACUGGGCGUAAAGGGUGCGUAGGCGGGUCUUUAAGUCAGGGGUGAAAUCCUGGAGCUCAACUCCAGAACUGCCUUUGAUACUGAGGAUCUUGAGUUCGGGAGAGGUGAGUGGAACUGCGAGUGUAGAGGUGAAAUUCGUAGAUAUUCGCAAGAACACCAGUGGCGAAGGCGGCUCACUGGCCCGUUACUGACGCUGAGGCACGAAAGCGUGGGGAGCAAACAGG